ensembl:lncRNA
GGGGGAGAGAGAGAGAGAGAGAGGGAGCGCGCGCGCGUUUGUUUUCACUCGAAGUGUCUCUCGCUCGACGCGCAGCUCGCGAGCUUGUCGGAACUUAACUGUCGCGUCGCUCUUCGUCUCCGAUGGAAAGGCCCUCGUCACCGCUGCAGCAAAUCAAAGAGUUGAAAUGCCCUCAGACUUCAUAAAGCCACCGUGUCAACGUGUGUGUGUGCUUUUCACCACUGAACGACCUCACCGAGAUGUUCAUUAUAAUCAUGUAAAACCCCACCAGGGAGAUACACACGUUACUGCAUACAACCCUUACAAAAUGCGUCUCUAUUUCAAGGGCUUCGGUGCAACCAAGGGAAUAUGUCAGAUGUGUGGAAAUAGGAAUAAAUUAAGGAAUUGCUAAUUAUUCAGGACAUUAGGUGCACAACAGCGAGUGUCUGAUGCAAAUUAGGCUACAACCCCUACAAAAUACCCCAGAAAUGUGAAAUAAAGUAGGCUUAAGUGAAAUCUUCCCUGCAGCUUAAGGCUUAACCUAAAUAUUUAAUGCUAUAAGGGUUCAAAUUGCGGGUAUUUAACGGUUAAAGAUAUGAGCUUCUUAGGACAGGCUCGCUUGUAAUGUGUUAUAAUGAUAAUUCCUCAGACCAAUAAAGCAACUCAUACCCCAAGGAAGAAAGAAUAUGUUGUUGUAAGCUGGUGAUGAAGAAUGGGAUUUGCUCAUGAGGCUUUAGUGUCAUUAGGCUCUUUACAUUUUAAUGAAUUCCACUAUAGAGAUUGACCCAGUGAGAUGAAGUAAAAAACAAAACAAAACAAAAACUUUAAUUUAUGCAGGGUUUAUGAUUAACUUAUGUUCGGUUGGUUGUUAGUUUUUCAAAUUAAAUGUUGUUCACUGAAAAACUAAAUCUUGUAUCUCGGAUGCGAUUAAGAUAUCGUCCGUACAAAUCACAGGGAAAAGGGAUUCCAGUGUGUUUUAAGUGUAAUUUUAAAGGACUUAAGCAGAUGUUGAUAAUAUUGUGAAACAAAGUAAUUUGGGCCGGGAUAGUUGGUACAUAAAAUAUUUCACACUGUCCCACGUCUACGGCAAGGAAUACCACUUUAAUUCAUGUUGUAAUACUUUGUUUUUUUUUAAUGCUUUUUUAUACUGAGCGGCACAAAAAGGUGUCAGACUAAAACGUCACCGUGAGAAUCUAUUGAAUCUGUGUGAGAUUAAGUUACACCGAUGAGUCACCCCUUCUCCCUGAUUCCUGGUCAUCCCUCUUGUGUGUGAGGCAAACGUCUUUUCUCCUUCCCUCCAGGAAACACGCAACACAGUGGUUCUUUUGUUACUGAUGGAUUUACUCGCCUUCAUCAUCAGUCAACGUCAUCUAAUCCGCCGUCAAACUGUUCAAAAUACACAACAAAUGUACACGAUGAGCACAAAUUCCUACUCCGUACAAACGUUUUUUUAAACACACAAACACAAAGGUGGAAUGGGAUGAUUGUCUACAAUAUUACUAAAUCUUUAAGCAUCUUCCAAAAAUGAGAUUCUCUAAACAACACAGGACGUAAACAUAGUUCUUAUUAGAAACAAUACUCCUCAAAAUAAGUCUCUAAAGUAAUUUGUUAACAAAUAACAUAAAUAGAAACCGUGGUAGUUAAAUCUAAGGUUUAAAACUGGAGCGUCUCCUCUGUGGGUUCACACCAGCUUCCAAAUAAGAAUUUUUAACAAGAAAAAAACUCCUGACAAUGUAAAUUGUAGAUGGAGAUUCAAUCGUUCUGUGAGGAGCCGAUGAAUCCACCCACGCAGUUAUGAGGACGAGCGACCUCACCCGUCCGUCCGUCUG